rnacentral:rRNA from 1 species
UAGGGAAUCUUCCACAAUGGGCGAAAGUCUGAUGGAGCAACGCCGCGUGAGUGAAGAAGGGUUUCGGCUCGUAAAACUCUGUUGUUAAAGAAGAACAUAUCUGAGAGUAACUGUUCAGGUAUUGACGGUAUUUAACCAGAAAGCCACGGCUAACUACGCGCCAG